rnacentral:rRNA from 2 species
UAACCAGAAAGCCACGGCUAAUUACGUGCCAGCAGCCGCGGUAAUACGUAGGUGGCAAGCGUUGUCCGGAUUUAUUGGGCGUAAAGCGAGCGCAGGCGGUUUUUUAAGUCUGAUGUGAAAGCCUUCGGCUCAACCGAAGAAGUGCAUCGGAAACUGGGAAACUUGAGUGCAGAAGAGGACAGUGGAACUCCAUGUGUAGCGGUGAAAUGCGUAGAUAUAUGGAAGAACACCAGUGGCGAAGGCGGCUGUCUGGUCUGUAACUGACGCUGAGGCUCGAAAGUAUGGGUAGCAAACAGGAUUAGAUACCCUGGUAGUCCAUACCGUAAACGAUGAAUGCUAAGUGUUGGAGGGUUUCCGCCCUUCAGUGCUGCAGCUAACGCAUUAAGCAUUCCGCCUGGGGAGUACGGCCGCAAGGCUGAAACUCAAAGGAAUUGACGGGGGCCCGCACAAGCGGUGGAGCAUGUGGUUUAAUUCGAAGCUACGCGAAGAACCUUACCAGGUCUUGACAUACUAUGCAAAUCUAAGAGAUUAGACGUUCCCUUCGGGGACAUGGAUACAGGUGGUGCAUGGUUGUCGUCAGCUCGUGUCGUGAGAUGUUGGGUUAAGUCCCGCAACGAGCGCAACCCUUAUUAUCAGUUGCCAGCAUUAAGUUGGGCACUCUGGUGAGACUGCCGGUGACAAACCGGAGGAAGGUGGGGAUGACGUCAAAUCAUCAUGCCCCUUAUGACCUGGGCUACACACGUGCUACAAUGGAUGGUACAACGAGUUGCGAACUCGCGAGAGUAAGCUAAUCUCUUAAAGCCAUUCUCAGUUCGGAUUGUAGGCUGCAACUCGCCUACAUGAAGUCGGAAUCGCUAGUAAUCGCGGAUCAGCAUGCCGCGGUGAAUACGUUCCCGGGCCUUGUACACACCGCCCGUCACACCAUGAGAGUUUGUAACACCCAAAGUCGGUGGGGUAACCU